rnacentral:rRNA from 1 species
GAUGAACGCUGGCGGCGUGCCUAAUACAUGCAAGUCGAGCGAACAGAUCAGGAGCUUGCUCCUCUGACGUUAGCAGCGGACGGGUGAGUCACACGUGGAUAACCUACCUCUAAGACUUGGCUAACUUCGGGAAACCGGAGCUAAUACCGGAUAAUAUAUUGAACCGCAUGGUUCAAUAGUGAAAGACGGUUUUGCUGUCACUUAUAGAUGUAUCCGCGCCGCAUUGGCUAGUUGGCAUGGUAACGGCUUACCAAGGCAACGAUGGGUAGCCGAGCUGAGCGGGUGAACGGGCACAGUGGAGGUGAGACGCGGUCCAGACACCGAGGGGAGGCAGCGGUAGGGAAGCUUCCGAAAUGGGCGAAAGCCUGACGGAGCAACGCAGCGUGAGUGAUGAAGGUCUGCGGAUCGGAAAACUCUGUUAUUAGGGAAGACCAAAUGUGUAAGUAACGAUGCACGGCUUGACGGUACCUGAUCAGAAAGCCACGGCUAACUACGUG